rnacentral:rRNA from 1 species
CCCUUAGAUGUCCUGGGCCGCACGCGCGUUACACUGAUGCAUUCAACGAGCUUAUAACCUUGGCCGAGAGGCCUGGGCAAUCUUGUUAACGUGCAUCGUGAUAGGGAUAGAUUAUUGAAAUUAUUAAUCUUGAACGAGGAAUUCCUAGUAAACGCAGAUCAUCAAUCUGCAUUGAUUACCUCCCUGCCCUUUGUACACACCGCCCGUCGCACCUACCGAUUGGAUGGUCCGGUGAAGCCUCGGGAUUGUGGUUCUUGCCGCUUUAUUGUGGCGUGACCGCGAGAACUUGUCUAAACCUUAUCAUCUAGAGGAAGGUGAAGUCGUAACA